rnacentral:lncRNA from 1 species
GUUUGCAGGCUGGCAAACAGGCUGGGAAAGCCCUUGAGAGACUCAGACAGCUCACGCCAUACUUCAGACUUCAUAGACCUGGGAGACAUCCAGCUUUCUCCCCCAGAGAAGCCGCAGCCUGGUCCCUUCCCCUGCCACACCAUCUGGUCCACAGAAACACCAGACUUCCGUGUCUCUCGGCCCUAUAAAAAGCGACAUUCCUUUUCCUGUCUCCUCUCCACCCGUCCCUCCCACCCACCCGGCUCUCCUCUCUCCUUGCCUUUGGUCUUCCUGUCUUAUCCCUUCUCUCCUGCCAAUCACUCCCUUUCUUCUCAACACUCCUCCUACAUCUCCCCUCUGUGCACUUGCAGUGCUAUUCUUUAUCUAACCAUGAAAACAUCCUCGAAGGGCUUCUAGAACAUUCGUAUGUCUGGAGGAGUUAGAGUCCUCCAGCGCUGGGGUUGGCAAUUCUGCCUCCUUAGCGUCCAGGAUAGACGAAGCAUUUAUUCCGAGGCUUUGUGCGCCCUCUUGUGGUUUCUCCGUCAUGCCAACUCCCGCAGACAAUGGCUGCUUUGUCCAGAAGAGAUGAUGAUUUAGAUGACAACCUGGCUUAAACCUCAGAAACCUUCAAUCUCUCCUUCUUCAAACAGUUUUUAUUAGAAGGAUGGCUGUGAAAAAUGAAGCCCUUAUGCACAAAGCCACCGCGUUUCACUGCGAUGUUCACCUGGCCUAUGAAGAUCUCCGGACACAAAACCAGGCAACAAAAUCAGGAUGCAACAAGAUGGAGGGGCAAAGCACAGAAGCGGAGUGGGCCCUGCCGUAGGUGAGGGUUGCCAUCCUCUUACACCUGCCGCUUCAUGCUUGAGCUCAGGAUGGUGAUGAGUCCAAUCUUGUGCAUGUCUCGUACACAGAAGAGCUGCAAGCUCAGGAACAAAACGGCCACAUCAUGCACAGAAGACAGUGCCCCAUGACAGAUACUCCAUUUCUUACUCAGGCACCCACUCUGAGAAAACAGUUGACUUUCACUGGCCAUGAGAACCAUCUGGAUUCUGGUGAUAACUGGAUCCUCCUGUUCCCAAGGCUACCCAUCAAGUAGGUGUGUGGUGAGACCCAGGAUUCUGUACUGAUAACAGGGGGCUGGGGGCUGGGACUCUGCUGUGCAAUCCACUGACGUAGGAUCCGUAAACAUCAUCCACUUAGAUAGGUCUUCUCUGUCUUUCCCAGUGUCUGUGUGCCAGAUGCUGGGGCUGCUCAGUCCUGCAAAGCUCUGUCGCCAGCCUUCUAGUAGAAGAAAUGUGCAAGCUGGAAGUGUCUCUUAGUCUCUUCACUGAUAGCCAAUGGAAUGUCCAUUUGAGCCAAUUUGGGGGAGUUUAUUAGCAGAAAUGAGGUAAACACUAAAUGGCAAAAUGGAUCACCUUCCCGUGGAAGCUGCCACCACACUAUGAGGGAUCAGCCUCAUGAAAGGACACUCAGUUAUUAUUCCCUCUCACUCCAUAAACAGGAUAUAUUCAAAGUCAGCACAUCAGUAAGAUAUUCCAGACAAAGCAUCCGUAGCAAAGAGUUAAGAUCUAAAUGCAACAAUUCAAAAGCCAGGAGAGACCAAGAAGCACAUGAUAGCUUUAUUAUUCUAAAUUGCCCAUUUUAGCACAGAUUCUAAAAUUGAAAUAGAGCAAAUUCUGUCUCUAGCUCACACUGCUACUGUUUCUCACAUAUCACUUGCUUGAUGGCCUAUGGGUAUCCUCAAAGCUCCUUGCUUCCUCUGGGAUCCACACUUCCUCAUGCGAAUCCAUGGAAAUA